rnacentral:lncRNA from 1 species
AAAGUGGCCACUUUUAUUUGGGCACGGAGAUUAAGGAGGAGAUAGUUAUGUUUAAUUAAUUGUGGUCCACCAAAAUUAAGGAUUUAAUUAAAACUUCUUCUUCCUCUCACUGCAUCUGGGCGACGGCGGCCGGCGCCGGCGGCCGGCCCUCGCCGUCCUCUAUCUGCCGUCGAACCGGCCGCCUAAAAUCAUCCCCAAAUCAGACUUUCCGGCGAUAGCAGAAAUCAUCCACAAAAAUCAGGGGGGGUUUUAGCCAAAUCAAUUCGACAAAAAAACAGCACAAAUCAUCCCAAAUCCACAAAAAAUUCAGCACAAAUCAUCCACAAAAACUAGGCAAACCGCAAGAAAUGAAGCAAACCAUCUCAAAUCUUGCAAAAAUUUUCAAGAAAUGAAGCAAAUCUCAAACUAAAAAUGAAGCAAAAUCUCAAAUCCCACGACGAUGUCGACUUCGACGGAAGUUACAGAGCGGCGGAGAGGCGGUGGUUUCUGAGACGAGAUCUAGGGCUCUUCCCGUGGGCGUUAUAGAGUAAGGCCUGAGAAGAGAGGCAACGCCGACUGGAGAGGCAGAGCGGCGGAGAGACGGCGUCGACUGGAGCGGCGUCGACCGACGGCCAAAUCGAUGGCGGCGGCAAAGCCCUAGCCCUAAAUCGGCGGCGGCAGCAGCAAACAGCUGACCCGCGCCUCCCUCCGAUUCGUAGACUUCCGACGGCCAAACCAGUGAAAACUCGCGCCGCCGACGAGGUAGGCGGCAGAGCCUUCAAAGAGAGAGAGAUAGAGAAAUCCGACGGCCAAACCAG